rnacentral:rRNA from 1 species
CCUACGGGUGGCAGCAGUGAGGAAUAUUGGUCAAUGGACGAGAGUCUGAACCAGCCAAGCCGCGUGAAGGAUGACGGCCCUAUGGGUUGUAAACUUCUUUUAUAUGGGAAUAAAAUGUUCCACGUGUGGCAUUUUGUAUGUACCAUAUGAAUAAGGAUCGGCUACCUCCGUGCCAGCAGCCGCGGUAAUACGGAGGAUCCGAGCGUUAUCCGGAUUUAUUGGGUUUAAAGGGAGCGUAGGCGGAUUGUUAAGUCAGGUGUGAAAGUCUGCGGCUUAACCAUAAAAUUGCAGUUGAAACUGGCAGGCUAGAGUACAGUAGAGGUGGGCGGAAUUCGUGGUGUAGCGGUGAAAUGCUUAGAUAUCAAGAAGAACACCGAUUGCGAAGGCAGCUCACUGGACCGCAACUGACACUGAGGCUCGAAAGCGUGGGUAUCAAACAGGAUUAGAUACCCGGGUAGUC